CCUACGGGGGGCAGCAGUGAGGAAUAUUGGUCAAUGGCCGAGAGGCUGAACCAGCCAAGCCGCGUGAGGGAAGAAUGUCCUAUGGAUUGUAAACUUCUUUUGUCAGGGAGCAAAGUCACCCACGCGAGGGUGUCGGAGAGUACCUGAAGAAAAAGCAUCGGCUAACUCCGUGCCAGCAGCCGCGGUAAUACGGGGGAUGCGAGCGUUAUCCGGAUUUAUUGGGUUUAAAGGGUGCGUGGCCGGGUUAUCAAGUCAGCGGUAAAACCGCGGUGCUCAACUCCAUCCAGCCUUUGAAACGGAUGUUCUUAGGUAACGAGAGGUAUGCGGAAUGCGUGGUGUAGCGGUGAAAUGCAUAGAUAUCACGCAGAACUCCGAUUGCGAAGGCAGCAUACCGGCGGCCAACUGACGCUGAGGCACGAAAGCGUGGGUAUCGAACAGGAUUAGAUACCCGUGUAGUC
rnacentral:rRNA from 1 species